ACAAGGUCUCCGUAGGUGAACCUGCGGAGGGAUCAUUACAAGUGACCCCGGUCUAACCACCGGGAUGUUCAUAACCCUUUGUUGUCCGACUCUGUUGCCUCCGGGGCGACCCUGCCUUCGGGCGGGGGCUCCGGGUGGACACUUCAAACUCUUGCGUAACUUUGCAGUCUGAGUAAACUUAAUUAAUAAAUUAAAACUUUUAACAACGGAUCUCUUGGUUCUGGCAUCGAUGAAGAACGCAGCGAAAUGCGAUAAGUAAUGUGAAUUGCAGAAUUCAGUGAAUCAUCGAAUCUUUGAACGCACAUUGCGCCCCCUGGUAUUCCGGGGGGCAUGCCUGUUCGAGCGUCAUUUCACCACUCAANGCCUCGCUUGGUAUUGGGCAACGCGGUCCGCCGCGUGCCUCAAAUCGACCGGCUGGGUCUUCUGUCCCCUAAGCGUUGUGGAAACUAUUCGCUAAAGGGUGUUCGGGAGGCUACGCCGUAAAACAACCCCAUUUCUAAGGUUGAC
rnacentral:rRNA from 1 species